AGGGUAAUAGCUCAGUGGUAGAGCAUGUACUUCGCAUGCAUGAGGUCCUGGGUUCACUCCCCUGUAUCUCCA
rnacentral:tRNA from 1 species